GAUGAACGCUGGCGGCGUGCCUAAUACAUGCGAGUCGAGCGAACAGACGAGGAGCUUGCUCCUCUGACGUUAGCGGCGGACGGGUGAGUAACACGUGGAUAACCUACCUAUAAGACUGGGAUAACUUCGGGAAACCGGAGCUAAUACCGGAUAACAUGUUGAACCGCAUGGUUCAACAGUGAAAGACGGUUUUGCUGUCACUUAUAGAUGGAUCCGCGCCGCAUUAGCUAGUUGGUAAGGUAACGGCUUACCAAGGCAACGAUGCGUAGCCGACCUGAGAGGGUGAUCGGCCACACUGGAACUGAGACACGGUCCAGACUCCUACGGGAGGCAGCAGUAGGGAAUCUUCCGCAAUGGGCGAAAGCCUGACGGAGCAACGCCGCGUGAGUGAAGAAGGUCUUCGGAUCGUAAAACUCUGUUAUUAGGGAAGAACAAAUGUGUAAGUAACUAUGCACGUCUUGACGGUACCUAAUCAGAAAGCCACGGCUAACUACGUG
rnacentral:rRNA from 1 species